AUUGAACGCUAGCGGGAUGCUUUACACAUGCAAGUCGAACGGCAGCGCGGACUUCGGUCUGGCGGCGAGUGGCGAACGGGUGAGUAAUGUAUCGGAACGUGCCCAGUAGCGGGGGAUAACUACGCGAAAGCGUAGCUAAUACCGCAUACGCCCUACGGGGGAAAGCAGGGGAUCGUAAGACCUUGCACUAUUGGAGCGGCCGAUAUCGGAUUAGCUAGUUGGUGAGGUAACGGCUCACCAAGGCGACGAUCCGUAGCUGGUUUGAGAGGACGACCAGCCACACUGGGACUGAGACACGGCCCAGACUCCUACGGGAGGCAGCAGUGGGGAAUUUUGGACAAAGGGGGCAACCCUGAUCCAGCCAUCCCGCGUGUGCGAUGAAGGCCUUCGGGUUGUAAAGCACUUUUGGCAGGAAAGAAACGGCGCGGGCUAAUACCCCGUGGAACUGACGGUACCUGCAGAAUAAGCACCGGCUAACUACGUG
rnacentral:rRNA from 1 species